UACGAAGGGUGCAAGCGUUACUCGGAAUUACUGGGCGUAAAGGGUGCGUAGGUGGUCGUUUAAGUCCGUUGUGAAAUCCCUGGGCUCAACCUGGGAAUGGCAGUGGAUACUGGACGGCUAGAAUGCGGUAGAGGGUAGUGGAAUUCCCGGUGUAGCGGUGAAAUGCGCAGAUAUCAGGAGGAACACCGGUGGCGAAGGCGGGUCUCUGGGCCGAUACUGACGCUGAGGAGCGAAAGCGUGGGGAGCGAACAGG
rnacentral:rRNA from 1 species